rnacentral:rRNA from 1 species
UGUACUCACUAUGUUGCUUUGGCGGGUCGACCUGGUUCCGACCCAGGUGGGCGGUGCCCCCAGCCUUAACUGGCCAGGACGCCCGGCUAAGUGCCCGCCAGUAUACAAAACUCAAGAAUUCAUUUUGUGAAGUCCUGAUAUAUCAUUUAAUUGAUUAAAACUUUCAACAACGGAUCUCUUGGUUCUGGCAUCGAUGAAGAACGCAGCGAAAUGCGAUAAGUAAUGUGAAUUGCAGAAUUCAGUGAAUCAUCGAAUCUUUGAACGCACAUUGCGCCCUCUGGUAUUCCGGAGGGCAUGCCUGUUCGAGCGUCAUUUCAACCCUCAAGCUCUGCUUGGUAUUGGGCAACGUCCGCUGCCGGACGUGCCUUGAAGACCUCGGCGACGGCGUCCUAGCCUCGAGCGUAGUAGUAAAAUAUCUCGCUUUGGAGUGCUGGGCGACGGCCGCCGGACAAUCGACCUUCGGUCUAUUUUUCCAAGGUUGACUCGGAUCACGUAGGGAUACCCGCUGAACUUACGCAUAUCAAUACGCGGAGGACAAGAAACAACAGGGAUUGCCUUAGUAACGGGAAUGAAGCGGAAUAA